rnacentral:rRNA from 1 species
AGAGUUUGAUCCUGGCUCAGAGCUAACGUUGGCGGCGUGCCUAACACAUGCAAGUCGAACGCGUCUUGGGGGGCAACUCCCGAGAUGAGUGGCAGACGGGUGAGUAACACGUGGGUAAUCUCCCCUCGAGUGAGGAAUAAGCCCGCGAAAGCGAGUCUAAUACCCCAUGACACUCCGGGACAUAAGUCUUCGGAGUCGAAGCCGCAAGGCGCUUGAGGAUGAGCCUGCGUCCUAUUAGCUAGUUGGUAGGGUAAUGGCCUACCAAGGCCGAGAUGGGUAGCCGGCUUGAGAGGGUGUACGGCCACACUGGGACUGAGACACGGCCCAGACUCCUACGGGAGGCAGCAGUGAGGAAUUUUGCGCAAUGGGGGAAACCCUGACGCAGCGACGCCGCGUGGAGGAUGAAGGCCUUCGGGUCGUAAACUCCUGUCAGAGGUGAAGAAUGCCCGCAAGGGUUUGACGGUAACCUCAGAGGAAGCCCCGGCCAACUACGUGCCAGCAGCCGCGGUAAUACGUAGGGG